rnacentral:rRNA from 1 species
GAUGAACGCUGGCGGCGUGCCUAAUACAUGCAAGUCGAGCGAACGGACGAGAAGCUUGCUUCUCUGAUGUUAGCGGCGGACGGGUGAGUAACACGUGGAUAACCUACCUAUAAUACUGGGAUAACUUCGGGAAACCGGAGCUAAUACCGGAUAAUAUUUUGAACCGCAUGGUUCAAAAGUGAAAGACGGUCUUGCUGUCACUUAUAGAUGGAUCCGCGCUGCAUUAGCUAGUUGGUAAGGUAACGGCUUACCAAGGCAACGAUGCAUAGCCGACCUGAGAGGGGGAUCGGCCACACUGGAACGUGGACACGGUCCAGACUCCUACGGGAGGCAGCAGUAGGGAAUCUUCCGCAAUGGGCGAAAGCCUGACGGAGCAACGCCGCGUGAGUGAUGAAGAUGUUCGGAUCGUAAAACUCUGUUAUUAGGGAAGAACAUAUGUGUAAGUAACUGUGCACAUCUUGACGGUACCUAAUCAGAAAGCCACGGCUAACUACGUG